CUCGUCGCCUGCUGUACGAGCACGUCCCCUGCCUCCGCGUCGCCACCACAUCGACGCGCAGAUCACCGCGCGCGCUCGCCUCCCAUGCCCCCCGCGAGCGCGCUCUCCGACGGCGAGGAGCUCGACCUCUUCAUGUUGAGCUGCAGCUAUUAUGAGACGCCCUUCCUUCACGCCGCCUCGGCUACCUGGGCUUCUGCCAAAUCUUAUCCUACAGAAUCUCGACGUCGCAGCCGGAGGUAACUGCCCUUGAGUGGUUGGGGGUAGAUGGGCACGGACGAGCACCUCCGCGACGACGAUGCCAUCGCGGUGCUCCUCUCCUCCGGCUUCGAGGCCGACAAGGUCGACGCGCUUGACCUCCUCCUCGUGCAGGGCGUCGACGUCGCGACUUCUCUUCCCACAGGUUCAGUUCCUCUCGUCCUGUAGCGCCGUGGAAACUCGAACUGAUUUUUGCGUGCGUUCAGUAGCAGAGUUUGUGCUCUUAAUUAAAUGUGUAGCAGAUUUAAUUGCCGCAGGUUUGCUGCACUAAGGCUUGCUUCUAUAUUAUUAUAUAUACAUCGAUUGAGAAUUCGAGAUACACUUUUGGUCUAUACUGAUGCUACGUGAUGCGAAUGGUUUCUAACAGAUUCACACUUUUGGUCUAUACUGAUGCUACGUGAUGCGAAUGGUUUCUAACAGAUUCAUGAGAAGUGUCAGGUUCUGAUGUUCUAUGUUUCACUACAUUUGGGUAAUGUGCACAGCACUCCACACACAAGAUCUGCUCCAUCAACCAGCACCAUACUCUGCCUCGAACGACACACUACGUGCUCCUCCUCUGUUCCUUCAAGGAACAGCUCCAGCAGGAUGUGCGCAUCCACGCCAUGGAAGCGGUGAUGGCUUGCUGGGAGCUCGAGCAGACUUUACAGAGCCUUAAAGAAACAAUAGAAGCAAUAUGCCUACGUCGACUCCCUCAAGCUCGCCGGAAACGGCAAGGAGGUCUGGGUCUUCGACAUCGACAAGACCACCCUCUUCAGCCUCCCCUACUACGCCAAGCACGGCUUCGGAGAUGAUUGUGUGUUUCUUGAAGGUCCUUCGGGCGCCAAGAAUUUGGAGUUGAUAGCUGACUACGUUAUGGUUUACAGAAUGGAUAUAAAAUGGUACCCUACAUUUAGCAAGCUAAAAACAUUGUUGCUCGGUCACUGGUGUAUGGAUGAUGACUUUUAUGGACUCAUUUACUUUCUCAAGAACUCACCCAUUCUAGAGAGAUUUACCCUUGAACUUUAUAAACCAUUUGAGCAUGCGUAUGGCAUCAUGAGUGGAACCUACCAGCCAAAGGACCAAGUUUUGGUAUCAAAACAUCUGAAGGCAUUUGAAAUCAAUCAUGUAAGAGAUGAUAAAUGGAUUCACCUAUUAUUGAAGGUCCUUGCUUCCCAUGGAGUACAUUCGGAACUAAUAAAAUUUGUAGAGAAGUACCAUUCUUAACUUUGCACAGGCUUUAGUUUCCAGCACGAGUUGUGGUCCAGACCAUCUACAAUGGCUUCUCUAUCCAGACACCCAUGUCCAUGAGUGAUUCACCAUGAAGCUCCCAUCCAGACCGUCUACAAUGGCUUCAGUUUGGGACGGCCCCCUUCCAGAGAUGCCACUCCUUGUCCUGUCAAAUGAGUAUGAAGUAUAGGAAGAGAUCACGGCCAAAGUCUAAAUGCACUCAUAGGAUCUGCAUAGGAUGUAUCCUCUACUCCUAUCUAUUUAUCAAUAGAAAUAUCUAUGCUUUUCAAGUGUUGUAAUUUGCUAGAGGUUGCUCUUUUCGCCUCUGCAUCACUAGCAUUGUUGCUCAAAACAUGUUGCCACGCGGAUGUUCUUUGGACUACGAUCUGGACAUGAAGGCAUUUGUUUUAGAGCCAAAUAUUACUUACUAAUGCCCGCAAAGUAUCGUUUUGUAUUAUAUUUGCUAUGGAGCUAUGUAUGUAUGGAUGCUAUGG